CCUUGACUCCUAUAGUACACAUUC
rnacentral:miRNA from 1 species